GACGAACGCUGGCGGCGUGCCUAAUACAUGCAAGUCGAACGCAGUGGGGACGGGUGAGUAACACGUGGGUAACCUCCCAUCAGAGGGGAUAACACUUGGAAACAGGUGCUAAACCGAUACUGAUGGAUGGACCCGCGGUGCCUUCGCUAGUUGGUGAGGUAACGGCUCACCAAGGCCACGAUGCAUAUCCGACCUGAGAGGGUGAUGGGCAAAACUGGAGCUGAGAGCAGCCCCAGACUCCUAGGUGAGGCAGCGGAAGGGAAACUUCCGUAAUGGGAGAAAGCCUGAGGGAGAAACGCGGCGUGGGUGAAGAGGGUUUUCGGAUCGUAAAAAUCGGAUGUAAGAGAAGCGGUAUCUUACCAGAAAGCCACGGCUAACUACGUGCCAGCCGCCGCGGUAAUUC
rnacentral:rRNA from 1 species